GGGUUUUUUUUAAAAAAAUGGAGAAUAUAAGGCACUAUCAAAUAUAAGGCACAACACAUUUUGAAGGCUCUUCAACAGUAACAACUGUGCCUUAGAUUCAAAGAAAUAAAGUAUUAAAACAGUAUUGUCAUUAAUGUAGACAAAAACAAAAUGCAACAGUUAAAUUUGGUACAAAUUAACAAAUAACUCUGUUUCAUCCAAUGCUUUCCACAAAGUCAAGGUGAGAUUACAUUUUCACUCUGAAUUCUUAAAUUUGCAGUGCAUCCAAAAUGAGUUUCAGUUGUGUUCUUCCUCCAAUGGGUAAAACUGUCCAUAGUGCUGAAAAAAUGCCUAGCAUUCUGUUGGUGAAAUAUGAUGGCAUAAGUUAGGUGCCACUGCAAUGCACUCUUUGGGUCAUUGCAGAAAUAUGAAGUCACUUACCAACUGCAAAACAAUCAAAUUACCCCCUGCAAGCCAUCUAUUUUCUCAGUGCAUUCUCCCCAUGCCAUGGACCCAGCCAUUUACUUGUUGAUGGACAGGAGAGGGAACAACAUACAAGCAUCUAGCUGUUUUCCUAUAGUUGGAGGCAGACUAAUGACAUCAUCCACAGCUGGAUGCAGAGUAAUGCCUACAGUUGCCUGAGCCUUCUCACAACUACAUCACAUUGGCUUCAGUGUGGCUAAAUCAACUACAGAUUCAGCUAAAGAAUACUGUGUAAAAAAAAAAAACCUCCACAUUCCAAUUCUGUUAUAGAUGCUUUUAUGGGCCCAGAAAUGACAACAUGCUGAGAAGCAAGCAAACAGCAGCAAAUUUUGUCAAUUUGCUUACAGCACAUUAUUUGUUUUUCAACAAAACGAUCGAUUGCCAGUUGCAGCCUGAGGUUAACUGUUCUUUUUUUUUCUUUCUUUUUUGAAGAAUAGCCGUUUUGACUGAAAUUAUAUUGUUUAUUUUGUGCAGCUAGAAUAGAAAAAGGCAUAGCACUCUUUCACCAAACCUCAUGGUGCCUGCUUGAAAUCACACAACACAGACACUGCUCAGGCUUCAUAACAUGUAUGCACACAGGGUAUCCAUGCUGCCUUUUGUCACGAUGUAUUGUGAGCCAUUCAUGGACAGCUACUCCCCAUGCAGAAAAUCUAGUUUUUAUUCCUCCACAUGCAUUCACAUUUAAAGAGAAAUUUGUAGUGAAGUGGAAACGGCUGAGGUUUCAUGUGGUGAGAAAGAACAAGACAUCCAUUCUUGCAAAAAUUUGUUCCUUGCCAGCUCAAAUGCCCAAACAUAUCUGUAUUAUCUAGCUAAAGCACAGUUAGGUAGUGGAAGAGAAGCGGAAAGUAGAAAUAGAUAAUUUCUCAUUUUUAACAGCUUCUUUUACUGGUACCAUGGAGGCCAUUUAAUUCCUACUGACCAGAAAUGACUAGUCAUUUACAAGUGUGGCCCGGGCUGUGGUGCAGGCUGGUGAGCAAGCCAGCUGCCAGCUGUAACAAAUCACUCUGACCAAGAGGUCAUGAGUUCGAGGCCAGCUCGGAGCCUGUGUUUGUCUUGUCUUUGUUCUAUGUUAAGGCAUUGAAUGUUUGCCUAAUAUGUGUAAUGUGAACCGCCCUGAGUCCCCUUCGGGGUGAGAAGGGUGGAAUAUAAAUACUGUAAAUAAAUAAAUAAGUGUGAACUGUUGGUCACUCAGCAUAGGGAGCAGCCCUUGCCACAUGGAUGGGUAGUUGUGAGAUGAUGCAGAAAUGCAUUGCUCUUCCAGGAGACUUUGGAUACACUUCUGUCUUGACAUUCUCCACCCCACCUCAAUUUCAUUUAUUUUGUUUAUAACAUCCUCUAGGGAGUGGAGAAGCAAAAGUGACAAUGAUUGUGUAAUCAUUGUGCAAGUGAUUGCGUAAUCUUUUAAAAAUAAGUAGUAGUUCCAGCUAGGUCAGAAAAACAAGAUCAGAACUGUAUUGGGGGGGGGGCUCUAUCUUUAAUUCUGAGCCAAAAUUUCAGUAUUAACUGGGAAUCCUAGGGGGGGGGAUCCUUCCUUGUGCCAUUAUCCUUAUCCCACCCAUUUCUUCCACUUAAGGCUGCUAUUAGUUUUCUUGGUAAUCAAACAGAGGCUUAUAAUAUAAUUGGCAAAAUUCCUGGAGACCCUCAGUAUAAAACACCUUUAUCUUCUUAUGUGUCCAGUGUUUUAAUAUCCUCUGUGGUAAUCCAGACUAGCAAAAUAUGCAGUAGAAAGUAUAAGAUAAGAAUUACCUUGAGGAUAAUUGGAAGCUGAGGUGGUGUUUCUGAAAUUCAUCCCAGGAUCAAAAAACAUUUUUAUGUGAGUGGGACUGAAGUUUGAGGAAACUUAAGCAUUUCUUUUGAUUUGGUCUAAAUGGCAAAGGGGAGAUGAAAAACUAGUAGACUCAGCUUUUUUCCAUUCAGUUGAUUUGGUUCACUUUUCCUGUGGAAUUUGGUUUGCCACCACUGUGGAAGUUUCCUCAUUGUGUAUCAGCUAUAGUCUAUACAAAUCAUACUUUUCUUGAAAAGAUGAUGCCUCUAUUUUAGACCAAUUAGUCUGUCUAAAUACAGGAACAGCUGUUCGAUACAAAUGCAUGCCCUUGACAAAAUAUUUACAGUUAUCACUUUCUAGUAAGCUUUUUCCUUCAGUUCCAUUCUCUCAUUUAGCUCUAUUUAAUUAACUAUAGUCAAAAUAGGUUGCCUUUCAGGCAAACCUGUUAUGUUAUCUCAUCUACUCCUUUCUGACCUUUCAAAUACCGUAUGAAAGUUCUAAAUUGUCUUGUCUUUUUGGAUCAGGUGUUAUGUUUCAGCAUAUUGAGGCAGGAGAAAGAAAAAGGUCAAUCAAUGUACUUUUUAUAAAUGAUUUACAUUAUAGUUGUGUCAUUUAAUUUAAUAAUUCACUUAUUAAUAUUAUUAAUAUUAGUAUUUAGGAAAUAUCAUAUUUAGAAAAUCUAAGCCAUUAGUGACUUAUGGAUGUCUUUGGGCAAGUCACAUUAUCUCAGCCUCAGAGAAAAGCAGUGGCAAACCUCUUCUAAAUUAACCUUGCCUUAGGUCAGAAAUGACUUGAAGGCACACAGUAACAGCUUACACAAAUUUAAUUGCCUUUGUACUCCAUCCAAAAAAAGAACCCAUCCCUAGCUGUGAUCAAGCAUCUGGAGCAUCUUCUACUUACUCAUGAAAAGAACAGUGGAGAGAAGAGGAGCCAAUUCAGACCAUGAAAAUCUGGCUGUACUGUGCUUGCAGGGGAAGAAAAAUGUGGUUACACUCAAUUGAGAGCAGGCUGUCAUUGACACACCCCGCUCACAGGAAAAUUUAGUCCAGCUAGAUCAAUUGGAUUCAAUUGUUAAGUGACAACAGCAGCAGCUCCUCCUAGGAUUUGAGAAUUGUCACAUAGUAGGAAAGCAGGGCACUGCACCCAUGGACCUAUGCAAAGAUUGAUUGCAUUACAGUUUUAUCUCUCACUCCAUGGCUACAAAGGCUUUUCACAGCAGCCUACAAAUUGUUACUUUGAUAGUGCCCUGCCCUCAGGUUUGCAAUCUAAAUAAGUCUGUAUGUUGUUGAGCCAUGGCACCUCCAUCCCAAAUUAUUUAUGGACAUGAAUGAGACUUCAAGCAAGAAAUAUGAAUUUUCCUUUAUUUUAAAAAUAUUUCCACUCUUUUGACAUUUCGCAAUAAUGAAAGGACUCAGCAGCAAUUGUUUUUAAGGAAUAGAAUAGUUGCCUAUGUGUAAAACCGCCUUGAGUCCUCUCUGGGGUAGAGAAAGGCGGGGUAGAAAUGUCAUAAAUAAAUAUAUACCCCAAACUAUAUUAUACCAAAACUCUUAAUCUAUCUAUCUAUCUAUCUAUAUCUAUAUAUAUAAAAGGAUAAAGUUGUGGGCACCGUGACUAUAACAACACAACUAUACGCCCCAGAACCACCAAACUUGACAACACGACGGAAAAGCCUUGCCUCCAGGUUCAUACAACAAAAAAACACAACAGGAACCUAAAAAGGGGUUAAAAAACCCAAAAAAAGGCAACAAACCAUCUGCGCCUGCGCCAAAAGCGAACCUGCGCGCGGACAGAACAACCCCCACCCCACCUCUCAACGGCCGCACCUGCCCCCGACGCUGCUGCUGCCAUCUUGCCGAACAGCCCCGAGUCACCACGUGCCAGGAGUAGGAAAAAGGCAGCCCCCACGGCUGGCCGCUCUGCCUAGGCGAGCCUGGGAAUUCCAUUUAGGCCUAAAGGGGCGGGUCUACUCACAGCAAGUCGAGCCAGUGGUGAGGUCCUGGACCUCGAUGCCGGGGUAGCCCUCGCACUGCCGGCGGCAACAGGCCUGCAGGGCGCUGUGCCAGCCCAACAUGGGCUCAAGCCUCCCAGUUGCCUCUCCUGGCUCACCCCUCACCACCCUGGGGGAGGGGGAAGCCGACUGGAGACCAAACUGGAUAGUCAAACUCUGGGCCUCCCGGCCCUCUGGAUGCGAGGGGGGGGCGGCCGCGGGGCUCCUCGGUCACUUCUUCCCGCACCGCCGCCAUCACCCGUCCUCCAAACCCCGAGAAGGAGCACGCCCCACACCACCCGGAGAUUAAGAGCCCACAGGCACACUGAGGAAAGAUAUGAAAAUUGACAGCUGUGAGUGUGAUACACUUGUUGGUGGUCCAAGUCUCUCAGGGCUGUGGAAAAGGCAAAAUGAGGAGGAGGAGGAGGAGGAGGAGAAGGACCAGCAUGGAAGCUGCAUCCAUGAUACUGCAAAACUCACAAUCUCUACUGUCCAGACUCAUAUCUUUACUUAACAAGAAGCAGACUCCACUGAACACAGUAGGACUUAUUUCCAGCAAGCAAAAGCAAGGAACCUCUCCUGGAACUGUUUGAAAUUUGAUUGCCACAACAAGAGCUCAAGAAUUUUGAAAUCAGGUACAUCUUUCCAAAGAGGACAGAGUAAAAGAUGGAAUCUAACUGCACCAGCCUGAAAACAGUUGGGUUCCAGAAGAAGAAAAAAGGACAAAGUUGUUUCCUCUAUCAUUUCAAGUGUACAGAAGCCAAGCAGAAAGCCAGAAGCAGACUGUUUUCUGACAAACUUGAAGCCACCAGACUAGUUUGGAGGAUGUAGGGAACCCACUAUGUGAUUUCGGGGAAGUCAAGCUCUCUCAACCUUGGAGGAAGGCAAAGGCAAACCUUACAAUAAAUCUUUCCAAGACCA